rnacentral:rRNA from 1 species
AUUGAACGCUGGCGGCAGGCCUAACACAUGCAAGUCGAGCGAGCGGCGGACGGGUGAGUAAUGUAUGGGGACUGCCCGAUAGAGGGGGAUAACUACUGGAAACGGUAGCUAAUACCGCAUACUAUCGGAUAACCCAUAUGGGAUGAGCGAGUAGGUGAGGUAAUGGCUCACCUAGGCGACGAUCCCUAGCUGGUCUGAGAGGAUGAUCAGCAACUGUGGGACUGAGCAACGUCCCAGGCUCCGACGGGGGCAGCAGUGGGGGAUAUGGCACAAUGUGCGAAAGCCGGAUGCAGCGACGCCGCGUGGGGGAUGAAGGCUUUCGGGUUGUAAACCUCGUUCGGUAUCGGACGGGUAGGUGGAGAAGAAGCGCCGGCUAACUACGUGCCAGCAGCCGCGGUAAUAC